rnacentral:rRNA from 1 species
UACGAAGGGGGCUAGCGUUGCUCGGAAUCACUGGGCGUAAAGGGUGCGUAGGCGGGUCUUUAAGUCAGGGGUGAAAUCCUGGAGCUCAACUCCAGAACUGCCUUUGAUACUGAGGAUCUUGAGUUCGGGAGAGGUGAGUGGAACUGCGAGUGUAGAGGUGAAAUUCGUAGAUAUUCGCAAGAACACCAGUGGCGAAGGCGGUUCUCUGGGACGGUACUAGACGCUGAGACGCGAAAGCGUGGGGAGCGAACAGG